rnacentral:rRNA from 1 species
UUACAAGUUAUUAAGAGCACACGGGGAAUGCCUAGGCUCUCAGAGGCGAUGAAGGACGUGAUAAGCUGCGAAAAGCUGCGGGGAUUGGCAAAUACGAUUUGAUCCGCAGAUAUCCGAAUGGGGCAACCCAGCAUUUUGAAGAAAUGUUAUCCAGUAAUGGAGGCGAACGUGGGGAACUGAAACAUCUAAGUACCCAUAGGAGAAGAAAACAAUAGUGAUUUCCGUAGUAGCGGCGAGCGAAGUGGAAACAGCCCAAACCGAUUUUGUUUCGGCAGAGUCGGGGUUGUAGGACUACAAUGUGGACUUAUAUAUUAUAGUAGAAGACGUUUGGAAAGGCGCAUCAAAGAAGGUGAUAAUCCUGUAUACGAAAUAAUAUAUAUACCUAGUAGUAUCCUGAGUAGGGCGGGGCACGUGAAACCCUGUCUGAAUCUACCGGGACCAUCCGGUAAGGCUAAAUACU